UGCCCUUGCCCUCGGCCUCGCCGAGAGGCGCCCUCGGCGCCAAGGGGGGGUGAACCGCCCCAGCGGGUGAGGCAGGGGCGAGUGGCGCGGAGCCUGGGCGGCCGCGAGGCAGCUGCCUUCCACUCGGAGCGUUGGCCCGACCCUCCGCGGGCUCACCUGCCUCGGUCGACCCCGAUCAGCUCACGCCCCGCCUCUGCCUGCGGUUUCCUCAGAGGAACAUUCAUGGACUGGGGAUGCUGUCGACUGAUCCCCGAAGAGAAUUCAGCCUCGUAUGGAUAUGUCAGCCUGAAGGGCUAGGAAUCGGAAAGCUGUGCUUAGAACUCAGCCACCACGUUGUGAGGAAACCAAUGUAGCCACAUGGACAGGUCAUGGAAGGCAUUCCAACAAUCCUCGCCAAAAACCAUGCUAAGGUCUCAGCCAACAGCUAACAUCAACAACCAGACAUGUGACUCCUGGAUCAAGGAGUCAUUUGGACUUUCAAGUCAUAUUAUUCAAGAAAUACAUUUCAUAAGGCUAUUGCUGCCAUAGAUAAUGAUUCUCUAUGGAGCGAGGCAAAGUUAAUUGAAAACCUCUAGAAGGAUUCAUGAGAAGAGGUCAAAAUACCAACAUUAACAGGAGUUGGAAGAAUUUGAUUGCAACCCUCGUGUAUGACUUUGAGAUGUCCAAGACUUCAGUGGAAGAAGUACCUGCAGAUGUGGUGGAAACAGCAAGAGAACUAGAAUCAGAAGUCACGCCUGAAGAUGGGACUGUAUUGUUGCCAUCUCAUGAUAAAACUUGAACGGAUGAGGGGUUGCUUCUUCUAGAUGAGCAAAGAAAGUGGUUUCAUGAGGUGGAAUCUAUUCAUGGGGAAGAGGCUGUGAAGACUUGAAAUGACAACAAAGAAUUUAAAAUAUUACAUUAAUUUAGUUGAUGAAGCAGUGGCAGGUUUGAGAGGAUUGACUCCAGUUUUGAAAGACGUUCUACUGUAGGUAAAAUGCUAUCAAAUAGCAUCUCAUGCUACAAAGAAAUUAUUCAUGAAAGGAAGAGUCACCUGAUGUAGCAAACCUCAUUGUUGUCUUAUUUUAAGAACUUGCCACAGCCACCCCAGCCUUCAGUAACCUCCACGCCGAGGAGUUGGCAGCCAUCCACACUGAGGCAGGACCCUUCACCAGCAAAAAGAUGACUUUCUGAAAGCUCAGAUGAUGGUUAGCACUUUUUAGCAAUAAAGUAUUCUUAAAUUAAGGUAUGUACUUUUUUUUUUUAGAUAUAAUGCUAUUGCACAGUUGAGAGACUAUAGUAAAGUGUAAAUACAAUUUUUACAUGCACCAAGAAAUUGAAACAUUCAUUUGAUGUGCUUUAUUGUGGUGGUCUGGAGUUUGCACAAUAUUUGCAAGGUUUGCCCAUAUAACCAUGAAAUGAAUUGCCCAGGGCUCAUAAGUAGUGGAGUAGAUUGCGGCUCCAGUUCAGACUUUCCACCGACCGUACCAUGCCACCUCUAUAUGUCCACCAUUUAAUUAGGGAGUUCCUUCCUCCCCUGGUUUCUUACAAUUCCUAUUUUGUAUGAUUUUCUUCCCAGUGGCACAUAGGACUAAACAUCGUUUGAAAAAAGAAAUCACUCUGUUGAUCUUUUGAGUAGAGUUAAUACUCUAGUAGAGAGGGAGAAAGCACUUCUCAAUUCUUUUGCUCUGUUGGUAGCAACAGUGCAAUCUGAGUUCUUGAAUAGUCUAGUCCAGAUUUCUGUUGACUAACACAUUCUCAUUAAAAACCACUUAUCUGAAUUCCUUUACUGAGGUUACUGCCCCUUUUGUGCAUUUGUGAUAGGGAGUUGCUUUGGGGAUUUGUUUUCCUGCUUGCACCUGUUUCAUAUCUUCAGCACACAGCCAGUCCAUGCCAGCACUGUACAGCAACCUUCCACGUAUUAUAGAUGCACUCAAACCACGAGUGGUUUCCUUAAGGAAAAGCUUCCUUGCUGACGUGAGACCGAUAGUUCAACCUCUCAAAAUAUCUAACUGUGGCCAUGUCCAUAUAAUUAAUACUGCUUUGAAAGAAUAGUUGAGCAAACAUCUUUCCUGGUCUGUGAUUAAACUUGAGAGACUGUAUAGUUCACUUGGGAGGCAGGAGUUCCACUCCAUAUUAUAUUGUAAAGGCUUAUCCAUAUGGAAAUAUGUAGAGCUAGUUAAUUGUUUGUACACUUAUUGGUGUACAUUUAGAUUUUUUUCCCAGUUUCCUAAAAAAGGUCUGUUUGUUUUGCUGUUACAAACUGUCACAGCGUAUUUCUUGUUCAUGUCUACUUGUGAACAUUUCCAAGAAUUUUUCUAGAGUGCAUGCUAAGAAACAGAAUUGAUGAUUCACUGUGUGUUUCUCAUCUUUACCU